ensembl:snRNA U6atac minor spliceosomal RNA
GUGUUGUAUGAAAGGAGAAAAGGUUAGCUCUCCCUGUGAUAAGGAUGGAAGAGGUCUUGGUGGCCUUCAACACAUAUAUACUGUAGUUCAGUCAUUGUCACCCUCUUUGUGGCAAUGCUAAAUUUUACU